AUAUAUAAUCCUAAUUCCUCCGAUCCAAGAUUCUUCCAAAGUACAGUUAGGACAAGAAUGGAAGUGGGAGCCAUUAAAAAACACAGGUUUUUCUCUCUCUCUCUCCACUGUCUCUCUAUCUCUCCCUCUAUCUAAUCGUCUUUUUGGGAACACACACGCACACACACACACACACACACACACACAUUACAAACCACCAUGACAAUGUUGUGCACAUACUACACGCUCUGCGGGAUUGGAUUCAUUCUGAAAAUACUGUUGUUCAUUUCUGUAAAUCAUUCUAAUCUGCUGACAGGUACGUCUUUGUCGCUUCUGAGGGAUUUUUGACGAUGAACUUUUUUAAACUGAGAACACACAUUCGUCUAUACAGCAAAAGCUUGUGGGAGCAGUCGCUGCAUACACACACUCACACACACCUGGGAGCUGCCCAGCACAACGGCAGUAUUGUGCCGCCAGCUGCUGAGCAGCUCCGCAGCAGAGGGCGAGCUAAUGUUACCGUCCUGUUUCUCCCACCGAGCGUCCGCUCACACGUCCUCGGUACAUAAAUAAAAACAGUACGUGAUGCGUACGCUUUGUUUGUCAGUAUUUCCACGUGGUUUGUCUCUUACCUCCGGUGUCAAAAUCAACAUCUUCGUCCUCCACGCUCACCACAUGACCCCCAGGGGACAGACGGGUCUGGGGCGGGGGGUACACGUCCACCACCUCCAGGGGAGCCUGCAGACGGAGAAUUUGGGGGAUUAUGCUGCACAACUUCAAAUAUGUUGUCACCAAGAGCCCAGCCAGUACUUUCUCAGUACUUUUCUCCCAGGCCAGUACUACUAACUCUCUCCAGAUGCUCUGAUCUGCAUAUGCCGUGUUGUACAGUAUGUGGAGUAUCUCCAUCUGCAGUUGUGCCAGCAUUUGUUGACACGUCUCCAAAGCAGCGUUCCAUUAUAACCACAGCAUUUAGAAAAAGUGACUGCAAUUUCAAAUCAUUACUACAAACCUCUGACAGCACUGCCAGUGUAAAACUCUUUUUUUCAUAACUUCCAAUAAGUGAAGUUUCCAGAUAUUUCUUAUUUUGAACGGGUUAGGAAAGGGUCCAAACCGCUGUGCAUGUCAGAAAGAAGCUUUACCUGUGGCUGCUGUUGCUGAUUCUGCUUGGCACCUCCCUCCUCUCUGGCCUCUGGAGAAUGGGGGGGGGCAUACUGCCUCGCUGCUGGCUCCACGCCAUACCUGGGUUCAGAGGUCAACGGCACAUCUUCGUUACCGUACGACUCAGAGCGUCCAGGUUCUUCCGGGUGGAAGGGAGCGUCAGGACCUGCUGGUCGAGGAGCCUCUGCGUGGUCACCUCCAGCAGGGGCUGGCUGGAAUUCAGGGUCCCCGCCUGUCAGAGGGUAAUCGUCCUCCUCCGGUUGGUUAUCAGGCUCAAAUGUGUUGUCUGGGUAGUCCUCAAACUCGCCGUACUCCGGGGUGGUGGUGUCCUAGAAGCACAAACCACGACUCAGAGGAGUUUUCUGCACAUUGUAUCUCAACAACUGUUGACUCUGACGACAGAUUUACCAGCGGGAGGCGUCCGGUUGGCGAGGUAGCCAGGAGUCCACCGAUGGACGCAGGAACAAUGUUGUCAAAAGAGUAACGGUUCCCGGUGUGGAAAAGCCAAAUACCUGGUAUUCCUGUGUUACCAACCCUGGAGAGCAACAAACCAGCCAAUUGAGCUGCCAUUUUGAAGCUUCGAGUUUGGCAUUUUGGUCGGCACCAUCUUGGUAUCUUGAAACCAGAAGUGAUCAUAUCUGGCGGAGCCUGACUGAGUGCUCAAGGACACAGCACGCCCACCUUCACCUGCGACCUGAACCCAUUGGAUACUACUAGCUGUCAAUCACAAGCCACUUUGCCUUGGGUCGUGUCCCGAAGAAGUUCAGGCCACCUUCAGGGUAGAGGAAGAGAACGUACGAGUCGGUCUCAUCGUAACCAAUCACUGCCUGGAACGUGUUGACCUGAAGAGACAGAGGCGAGACGCUUGCAUCAUGGCUAAGAUCCGACCAGCUGCAUGUGUUUAGCUUCCUGAAGACCAGACGUCUGCUGCUGCUGCUGCUGAGCAGCUUCUCUUCUACUGCUGAGGUCUCCACCGUGUGACAGGUGGCUUCCGAUUGGCUGCUUCGCCUCGGACAGCAUCUCACCUGCCUCCUCUGUUCUCCUUCACACUCCGGGUCGUCUUAAAAUGAACCGGCAUCUCCAUGGACUGGUCGCUCUUCAGUGACACAUGGCUGCGUUCAGAUGAAGACUCACCUGCCUCCUGCCCUGUCCUUCACACCUGAGGUCGGGAACUUGAAAACAACCGGCUCCUCCGCGGACUGGUCACUGUUCACAUGGCUGCGUCGAGAUAAAGGUGAGUCUUCUUCCAGGUUGG